rnacentral:lncRNA from 1 species
AUGACUUGGUACAGAGAGAGAGAGAGAGAGAAUGCUGCUUUAGGUUUCUUAGUAGUAAAAGGGAUGAUAUUUGAGAAGGGAGGGAUUUUCCUUCAUAGCUACCCUCUACUCACUAGCCUGAAAUACUGGAAAGAAGAUGAGGUUGUCAGUGUCACGUUCAAGAUGCAAAUAGUUGUCACAUGGGAGAGUCUUGGCAAGAGAGAAGUUUGUGCCAUCAGUUUGCAGUCCCCAUCCCUGCAUACUACAGAAGAGCUCUGGGAAGAGAAUAUCUACACCCAGGAGCAACUUUUCUCCUGGCUUGCCUCCCUGGUGAGUGUCAGUGACCCCCUUAGUACAGAUUUCAGAUCUGGACCAGAAUCAAACUCUGAACUUCUGCAAAGUUUGGUGAUCAUUAAGGUGGACUUGGGAUCAUAUGGGAAUGCACUGGAAAAUUUGGAGCUGUGUCCGAUACGAUUCAAGCAAUGGAGGAAGUUCAAGGCUGGUCUUCACAGCAUGUGCAUUCUCUUCUAA